AAGGAUCAUUACCAAUUUUAUCGGGGGGGCUUUGGCCCCUGUCUGAACCCUUGUCUUUUGCGUACUAUUUGUUUCCUUGGUGGGCCUUGCCUGCCGAUAGGACACUAUUAAACCUUUUGUAAUUGCAAUCAGCGUCAGAAAAACAUAAUAGUUACAACUUUCAACAAUGGAUCUCUUGGCUCCGGCAUCGAUGAAGAACGCAGCGAAAUGCGAUAGCUAGUGUGAAUUGCAGAUUUCAGUGAAUCAUCGAGUCUUUGAACGCACAUUGCGCCUCUUGGUAUUCCUCGAGGCAUGCCUAUUCGAGCGUCGUUUCGUCCCUCAAGCGCGAGCUUGGUGUUGGGGACCGCCCCUGAGAUAUGGCGGCGGCCCUUGAAUCCAUCGGCGGUGCCGGUGCGGCCCUGAGCGCAGCAGCGAUGCAGCUCCCAGGCGGCGCCUGCCCAGCCGGACGACCCCACGAAACUUUCUGAACGUCGACCUCGAAUUAGGUAGGGAUACCCGCUGAACUUAAG
rnacentral:rRNA from 1 species